CCCUGGGUGGCUCAGUCGGUUGAGUGCCAGACUUCGGCUCAGGUCACGAUCUCACCUCACGGUUCGUGGGUUCGAGUCCCGCAUCGGGCU
rnacentral:tRNA from 1 species